ensembl:lincRNA
GAGUGACAGGGUACAGGGCGGAUUGGGCUUAAUCCUCAGCAGCAGGCAGGAAGGGCACGUUCCUUAAGAAGCUUAUCAGGGGCCCAAGCGAGUGGGCGGCAGUAGGUCUGCCUCUGCAGCUGCGUCUUUUUUAUCUAUUCCUUUCCUUAAAAAAUAAAAAACAAAAAAACGGAUGGGAAAGGGUUUCUUUUACUUCAUGGAACGAUGUUUCCACUGAGAUGAGAAAUUGAAAGAGGAGGCUGAGCCCGGAGGCCGGUCGGGAGAGGCGCCUGCAGUCUGUGCAGUAACUCCAGCCUCAAUGGUCCCCCUCUGGGGCCGGAAAAUGGCUCUCAGUGAUCCCUGCUCCAAACCCUUGUAUAAUGUGGGAAGCCACAGCGGUGUCUCGGGAGGGAGGCCUUUCUGAUAAAGCUGGUGGCCAAGGACGAGGCUGCUGAGGAGAAACCGCCUGGUCACUUCCCAGGUGUAGCCCGGGACUCUGCAGGUGCGCACAGCCGGUCACGGAAGUGGACCCUGUGUGGGCUCACGGGGGACUGGCUGUUUCUUUUGGACACCGUAGGAUGUGGAAGAACUGUGGAUGGCCGUGGAGGUGACGAGGGACUUGGGGCACUUGAAGCCCCUGUGUGCCAGGGGACUGAAUCAACCGACUCAGCAGGAGAUGGCGGAAAGAAGGCCGAAUCAGCUGAGGGGCAGCACAGACCCGAGAAAGGCCAAAGGGGAGGACUAUUUGCUGGACAGAGAGGCCUCGGGGAGACCAUCCAGGCCCUGGAGUUGCUGAUGGGAGGAAGCCAUAGGCAGAAAGAAGACCGUCUCCGUAUGAAGCGCCUAGGCUUUGGGCCUCCAGAAUAUGAAGCAAAGGAUCCGUCCUGUGUAGUAGCCUGCUUCCGGUGUUUCGUGAUAGUCAUGGAGGCUGCUUUUCCCACCAGACCCCCAGCCAAGACGGAGCAAGAGGAAAAACAGACCCACAGAGGAAGGAGGACGGGAGCCGAGAGCAGGGACAAGGGGCGGAGGGCUUCUGGGCCAGGCGGGGAGGAGGGUGCUUAUUUAUGGGGCGCCUGCUCCCAGGGUCGAUUGGACCACGACAUCCACCAACUGCAAAGAAACAUCUUGUGUUAGGGGCUGGGGCUGGGGCUCAGCGACAGAGCACUCGUGUAGCACGUGCGAGGCCCUGGGUUCGAUCCUCAGCACCACAUAAAAAUAAAUAAAUAAAAUAAAGGUAUUGUGCCCACCUACAACUAAAAAAAAUAUUUAAAAAAAAGGAGCCUCUUGUGCUAGUCUGCCUGGCCCCUGGGGAGGGCACCACUGUCAGGCCUCCCUGGAGGUGUGUUCGGCUCCCCCCAACCUGCGGAGGUGACCUGUGGACAUGUACCUCAGCUUCCUUGAGGGUGACGUGUGCAGGAACAAAGCCAAUACCUGUGCCGCUUGAGUGCUGCUCUUGUAGUCUGGAAGCAGCGUUUUCCAGGGCAGCGUCUGCAUGGUGCAAGUUGCAGGCGAGGGAGUCAGUUUGCUUUGGGAUCAAUAGGUGUGGCCUCCACGGGCAGGGAACUCAGGGCUUCCUUUUGAAUUCCAGAGGACACAGGACAGCUCCAUCUCUAAAGGCCCAGCCCAAUGGAACAUGGCAGCUGGGCAGGGGUUUUGCUUCUAGGCUGACUGUUUUUGCUCCAGGAAUAAUAAAGACCUUCUCGAUGCGAAACAGCUCAGUGUUAAUCUUGCAGAAAUAUGGGGGAUCUGAAUUGUGGUUCCAGCUGCCUCGGCUGCUUCCUCUGCUGGUCAAUUCCUGGUCACCGUAUGAAGUCCAGAAGGGCCACUCUUAAGGUCUGGACCAGGAAUGUCCCCCCAAAAGCUCAGGGGUGG